rnacentral:misc_RNA from 1 species
UACGUAGGGGGCCAGCGUUGUCCGGAUUUAUUGGGCGUAAAGAGCGUGUAGGCGGCCAGGUAGGUCCGAUGUGAAAACUCGAGGCUCAACCUCGAGAGGUCAUCGGAAACCAUCUGGCUAGAGUCCGGAAGAGGAGAGUGGAAUUCCCGGUGUAGCGGUGAAAUGCGCAGAUAUCGGGAAGAACACCUAUGCGAAAGCAGCUCUCUGGGACGGUACUGACGCUGAGACGCGAAAGCGUGGGGAGCGAACAGG